rnacentral:rRNA from 1 species
UACGUAGGGUGCAAGCGUUAAUCGGAAUUACUGGGCGUAAAGCGUGCGCAGGCGGUCGUGGAAGACAGUUGUGAAAUCCCCGGGCUCAACCUGGGAACUGCAUUUGUGACUGCACGGCUCGAGUGCGGCAGAGGGGGAUGGAAUUCCGCGUGUAGCAGUGAAAUGCGUAGAUAUGCGGAGGAACACCGAUGGCGAAGGCAAUCCCCUGGGCUAACACUGACGCUCAGGCACGAAAGCGUGGGGAGCAAACAGG